rnacentral:rRNA from 1 species
CACGUAGGGUGCGAGCGUUGUCCGGAAUUAUUGGGCGUAAAGAGCUCGUAGGCGGUGUGUCACGUCGGCCGUGAAAACCUGCAGCUUAACUGUGGGCUUGCGGUCGAUACGGGCAUCACUGGAGUUCGGCGGGGGAGACUGGAAUUCCUGGUGUAGCGGUGAAAUGCGCAGAUAUCAGGAGGAACACCGGUGGCGAAGGCGGGUCUCUGGGCCGAUACUGACGCUGAGGAGCGAAAGCGUGGGGAGCGAACAGG